UUAGGGGUUUGAUUAUGGGCUCAGGAACGAACGCUGGGCGGCAGGCCUAACACAUGCAAAGUCGAGCGCGCCUUCGGGCGAGCGGCGGACGGGUUAGUAACGCGUGAGAACGUGCCCAGAUUACGGAAUAGCCACUGGAAACGGUGAGUAAUACCGUAUACGCCCUUCGAAAAAAGAUUUAUCGGAUUUGGAUCGGCCCGCGUUAGAUUAGGUAGUUGGUAAAGUAACGGCCUACCAAGCCUACGAUCUAUAGCUGGUUUUAGAGGAUGAUGGCAACACUGAGACUGAGACACGGCUCAGACUCCUACAGAGGCAGCGUGAGAAUCUUGGACAAUAAAGAAACCCUGAUCCAGCCAUGCCGCGUGAGGAAGAAGGCCCUAAAGUCGUAAAACUCUUUCGCCUGUGAUGAUAAUGACAGUAGCAGGUAAAGGAACCCCGGCUAACUCCGUGCCAGCAGCCGCGGUAAUACA
rnacentral:rRNA from 1 species